GAUGAAGAACGUAGCGAAAUGCGAUACGUAAUGUGAAUUGCAGAAUUCAGUGAAUCAUCGAAUCUUUGAACGCAUAUUGCGCUCUCUGGUAUUCCGGAGAGCAUGCUUGUUUGAGUAUCAGUAAACACCUCAACUCCCUUUUCUUUUUUGAAAUUGGAGCUGGACUUGAGUGAUCCCAACGCUUUCUUCCAAGAAAGUGGCGGGUUGCUUGAAAUGCAGGUGCAGCUGAACUUUUCUCUGAGCUAUAAGCAUAUCUAUUUAGUCUGCCUAAAAAACAGAUUAUUACCUUUGCUGCAGCUAACAUAAAGGAGACUAGUUCUUGUGCUGACUGAUGCAGGAUUCACAGAGACAGCUUCGGCUGGCUUUGUAAACUCGAUCUCAAAUCAAGUAAGACUACCCGCUGAACUUAAGCAUAUCAAUAAGCGGAGGA
rnacentral:misc_RNA from 1 species